ensembl:rRNA 5S_rRNA 5S ribosomal RNA
GCUUACGGCCAUACCGCUCUGAUCAAGCCCGAUCUCGUCUGAUCUCGGGAGCUACGCAAAGCUGGGCAAGGUUAGUACUUGAAUGGGAGACUCUCUGGGUAUACCGUGUGCUGUAAGUU